UUCUUCCGCUGUCAAGCCCCCACCCACCUCUCCCCGAUUCCCAUCUCCCAACAGCAACCCACACCCUAGCGCGACCACCCUCCAUCCCCAUCCCCACAAGCACGGCGCUCCGGCGUGGCUCAGGCACCGGAUCCCGAGCGGCCGCGGCCCCCUGGCGCCCCUCUCCUCCUUCGUCUGCCCCUCGCGCCCCCAACCUUCCUCCAACGCUACCGGAAGCCGCGACCGCCUCCGAUGCGCCGCCGACCUGCCCCCCGCCGCCAGAGCACCUCCCUAGGCUGCCACCCGCCGCGCCACCCCAUCUCCUUCUGCCGUCGCCCCUGCCGCGCCGCCCCUCCCAUGCAUCGCUUCGCCCCACCCAGUUCCCUAGUGCGCCACCACUGCUCCCCGCAACCACCUGCUCGUCCUCUUCGGCGCAGCCCCCGCGAUCCUGGUGGCGCUCUGACGACUGGCCGUUCCUCUAUGGGCCAGAUCCGGUGAGAUUUUACCAAUCCCACACCUCCUCGAGCCAGAUCCGGUGAGAUCCACCGGCUCUUCCUCUCCAACGACGGCCCAAAAUCCACGGCCCUGGAGCUGCCUCGGGGUCCUCCUCUCCGGCUGGCCUCGUCGUCUCCUACCUCCGCUGGGAACGGGAUCCGCGCUCAUGUGCCCCCCAGCUUCUCUUCUGGCCAGGAAAAAUGGCCUCGAUCCGACGAUUCCUCCUCUCAUCGUCAUCCCCUUCUCUGUCAGUUGCCAUCCACCAUGGGGAGAGGGCAGAAACUCCCAGCACCAGUCUGUGUCAUUCGAGCGGUAAAGCCCCCUUGCAGUUUGUGACAUGUACGAGUGCAGUGCGUUAGUCGCGUUGGUGCAGCCCGCUGGCAUCCAGCAGGGGAUGCAGCUCUUCGGUGGGUGAAGUGCGGUCCACGACGAGCGCCAAUGCAGUGCUGUGCCCCACAGGAGGUGGCACCAUGGCCAUCUCAAUCUUGUCCCUGCGCCACACCAUGGAUCCCGUUCGAUAGCGAGCUCCCCGGCGACCAAGUGCUGCAGCCCACUUUUUUCUUUUUGCAAUUCGCAUGUUAAAGUUUCUUUUUGCAGUGUGUGUGAUGUUCGGUGUAAGCUCGAAUGAAGACACAGAUCAGUCCCCUAUGUUCUCUAAUGCAGAAAAAAGGAGGAAAAACCAAUUAUAGGAAAAGAAACAAAAGACUCGCUCUCCUGCAUGCACUUCGUUUAGAGUUUGAUUGAUGUCCUGUAUUGUGGGUCGUGGAGUUCGAUUGGGGCUCCCCUAGUAAAGUUCAUAAAAAAUUGUCCAUUGAGAUUUGCAGUGCAGUGCAUAGUAUAGAGGACUUUACUUUGUAAAAACUUCUAUAGAGGAGUUCACUUUUUUCUUAUUUUUGGAAGAAUUCUUUUGCAAAUUUGUAUGGACAUAGUUUAUAAUUUGUGAAAAAUCGGAUGUUGAAAGCA